AGGCCACGGUGAGGGCAUUCUUGGAGUAGAUCCUUGAAUCUCUCCAUAAGUUUAGAAAAAGGCUCUCUAAGAUUUUGCCUAAACUAAAGGACAUCACUUCUAAGCUU